GCCGUCAAUUCCUUUAAGUUUCAACCUUGCGGCCGUACUCCCCAGGCGGUCAACUUCACGCGUUAGCUACGUUACUGAACAGCAAGCCGUCCAACAACCAGUUGACAUCGUUUAGGGCGUGGACUACCAGGGUAUCUAAUCCUGUUUGCUCCCCACGCUUUCGUGCAUGAGCGUCAGUGCAGGCCCAGGGGAUUGCCUUCGCCAUCGGUGUUCCUCCGCAUAUCUACGCAUUUCACUGCUACACGCGGAAUUCCAUCCCCCUCUGCCGCACUCCAGCUGUGCAGUCACAAGUUAAGCCCGGGGCUUUCACACUCGACUUGCUCGGCCGCCUGCGCACACUUUACGCCCAGUAAUUCCGAUUAACGCUCGCACCCUACGUAUUACCGCGGCUGCUGGCAC
rnacentral:misc_RNA from 1 species